rnacentral:tRNA from 1 species
UCCCUGGUGGUCCACUGGUUGGAACUCAGUGCUUUCACUGCUGGGGCCCCAGGUUCAAUUCCUAAUCAGGGAA